rnacentral:rRNA from 1 species
AUGAACGCUGGCGGCGUGCCUAAUACAUGCAAGUCGAACGGGAGACCUCAUUUCGAUGGGGUUGAGAGUGGCGAACGGGUGAGUAACACGUAGGAAUCUACCCUUAAGACGGGGGACAACCCAGGGAAACUUGGGCUAAUACCGGAUGAGAGUGCGAGAGAUUGCAUUUAAAAGGAUGGCGAAAGUUGUCGCUUAGGGAUGAGCCUGCGGUCUAUUAGUUAGUUGGUGAGGUAAGAGCUCACCAAGGCGAUGAUAGAUAGGCGGCCUUAACGGGUGGUCGCCCACACUGGGAUUGAGAUACGGCCCAGACUCCUACGGGAGGCAGCAGUGAGGAAUAUUGCGCAAUGGGGGCAACCCUGACGCAGCAACGCCGCGUGAGUGAGGAAGGUUUUCGGAUUGUAAAGCUCUGUCGAGCGGAAAGAAAUGCACGAUGGCUAAUAUCCAUCAUGCUUGACGGUACCGCUAGAGGAAGCACCGGCUAACUCCGUG